AAAAAAACACUUUCAAUUUUGCAACAAAUUAGGGAAAAAACUCCUUCCUGACCCCAGAAUGGCAGUCAGAUAUCUCUUUGGAUUAAGAAACUAUUAUUCCACUAAUUAAAAAUUAUAUCUCUGCAUAUUGUGUUUUUGCAAGUAUAACUUCUGAUAAAACCACCUCGUACCAGUGAGUUAUAAAAACACAAAAUAAUAUUUUCAUCCUUAGGAUUAAUGCCCCUCUUAAUACAUGACACCUUAUUAGUUUUAGGAACUGCUGAUUGGCAUUGCACAUUGUUGCCUAGCUUGUCGUCCAUAAUAAUUCCCAAUCCUUGUGCAUUGUUAUCCCUUAUUCACUACCAUUAAGGGUGUAAAUUGCUUGUGCGUUCUUUACUCUGUGCAUAACUUUGUAUUUUUGUACAUGAGAUUUCAUCUGCGAUUUGAGUGCCCAGUCACCAAAUCUAAAUCCCUCUGCAACAAAGCUUUGAUAGGAUCCAUUUUCAUUUUACACUCCUUGUUCAAUGACCAGAGCAGGCCCAAUGAUUAAAUGCUGCCCCCAACAAAUCCACACCCAUGCUAUGUUAUAGUGUGUGUGUAGUGGUUGCAGUGUGUGUGUAUAGUGGAUGCAGAGUGUUUGUGUGUGUUUACAAUGGCAUAACUAGGGUCUCUAGCGCCCUUGGCGAGAAACUGUAUCGCCAACACCCUACCCCCAUAAAAAAGUAAACAUUUCAUGGUUUUUGUUUAGUUUUUUUAGAUAAUUUUCCAUCAUUUUUAUUGUCUGCUUUUCUAUAGUGAUCUUUGUAUUUGAGUAUAGUAUCCAAAUGAGAUUUAGGCUAAACAUUAGACAGG